AGAAAGAUAGUGAUAAGGAAGAGUAAUUUGACUAAGCAUUAAAGAGAGCUAAAGAAUGGUGAAAUUUAGUAUGAUAUGUUAAGUGAAGCAGCCUUUGAAUCUCGUAUUGAAAAAUAAGAAUAUAAAUUCUUAAUUAGGUAUUGACGUUGUUCUCACGUUAUAGAGAAUUGAAUAUUUUAUGUAUUCAAGUUGAGUGAGUAAAUUAAAUUUUACUUAUUAGGGUGGUACCGCGGAAGCUAUAUCCUUCGUCCCUUGU
rnacentral:ncRNA from 1 species